ensembl:lncRNA arylacetamide deacetylase
CGUUGACUCAGUCUGCUCUGAGGGGCUGAUUGACUUGCUAAUGAAACAUGUUUUCCCCCUGUGUGUCAGAACAACCUCGGUGGGGUGAGAGGAGAACUCACCUCCUGGGCGUGAUCCAAACAUAACAGCAGAUUAACUUUGCCCUGUCAGCAUGUGCUGGCUUGUAACUGUUAGGAGUCACACUUAGACUGAUCAGACUUGGAGGAAAUAUUCUUGUGGAACAUGGGAACUAAAUCACUAUGUCUCUUCAUUGCCUCUGCUCUUAUUGCUUACUACAUUUAUGCACCCAUCCCAGAGAAUUUAGAGGACCGCUGGAAACUGAUGCUCAUGAGUAGUGUAUACAAAACUGUAGGGCAUUUGGCUGAGUUUGCCGAGUGGCUGGGUCUGAUGCACUAUAUGGAAGUUCUAAUGCUGAUCACAGUUACUGAACAUGUCCCACCAACGUCAGAUGAAAAUGUCACUGUAACAGACACAGAGUUCAGUAAUGUUCCAGUUCGUUUAUAUUUGCCCAGAAAGCAGCUGAGUGGAUUGAAAAGGGCCAUACUUUACUUUCAUGGUGGAGGAUGGUGUGUAGGAGAGGCAGGCAUGAAACCCUAUGACCUUCUGUCAAGAUGGACUUCAAACCAGUUAAAUGCUGUUGUGGUAUCAGUCAAUUACAGGCUGGCGCCUAAAUACCAUUUUCCAGUUCAGUUUGAAGAUGUGUAUGCGGUAACAAAAUUCUUCCUCCAAAGCAGUGUCCUCUCGCAAUAUGGGGUGGACCCAAAUCGGAUCUGUGUUGCUGGAGACAGUGCAGGUGGCAACUUAGCUGCAGCUGUGGCACAACAGUUGUUAGAUGACCCUGAAGUCAAAACUAAACUUAAAGUCCAAGCUUUGCUUUAUCCUGCUCUUCAAACCCUUGACCUGAAUUUGCCAUCUUACCAAGAAAAUGAAAACAAGCUGAUUCUACCCAAGUCACUUAUGGUCAGGUUCUGGAGUGAAUAUUUCACUACUGAUUCCUCUCUUAGAGAAGCAAUGGCCUCCAACAGGCAUGUUCCAGCUGAAGCAAGCCACUUAUUUCAGUUUGUAAACUGGAGUAAUUUACUGCCUGAAGAGCUAAAAAAAGAUCAUGUUUAUACCAGUCCCGUUUAUGGAAGCUCCAACCUUGGGAAGAAGUAUCCAGGGUUUCUGGAUCCAAGAGCGGCACCUCUGCUGGCAGAAGAUGCCAAGUUACACAGCUUGCCUCUGACGUAUGUUCUCACGUGUGAACAUGAUGUCUUGAGAGAUGAUGGGAUUAUGUAUGUCUCGCGCCUUAGGGAAGCAGGAGUUAAAGUAACACACAAUCAUGCUGAGGAUGCGUUUCAUGGGGCUUUAGCAUUUAUUUCAAGCCCAGCCAACUUAGCUGUAGGACACAGGUUGUUAAAUCACUAUAUUAACUGGUUAAAUGACAACCUAUAA